UUGUGUUUUCGGAGUGUGCGCUGGGAAGAGAGUGCUAUUUAUUUAGGCAUUUUUAUGAAAUCCUAAAGAAGGUUCCUCUGAUGAAGGCCCAGUUGGUUUGGAGGAUUCAGAGGUGGAGCUGGCCUAUCUCAUCCCAUCCUACACGUGCUGCCUGCUACUUGGUUACAUAGAAAUCAUCCUCUGGGUAGAAGAGUGUGACAGGGCACGUGGGGUAUGCCUGCCACUUUAAAAGUGUCCUCUUGCAGUAACCCCAAGAAGCUCCAGGUCUCAAGCCCCACUGUGCAAGGUGCUGUAUGAACAAACUCUUUGGGAUGGAGACUAUCUAGUAGUAAGAGGCAGGACAACAGGUGGAUGUAGACAGAGGAGGAAGCCCAAGGAAACUGUGACAUGAUAUUGGCCUGGAAGAGGCACAGGAGCCCCGGCACACCAGCUGCCUAACCAUGUGCUCAUGGCUGCUUCUCACAGUGGGGAGUUCGGCUACUGUAAAAUGAAAAGCCCUAAUCGGCCUCCCCCUGGACCUGAUGCACUUUUACUGGAUGCACAAUGGCAAUGCCUUGUUAGGGGGAGGCAAAGCUACACGUGGUACCAAAUUCCUCAAGUGGUGGCUUGCUCCUCAUUUGUGUAUGCUGUAUUUUCAUUAAAAAAUAAAUAAAUUAAUGACUAUCCCUUUAAAUGAUCCUAAAUCCUGGGAUUAUGUCAUGAUCCUU